rnacentral:rRNA from 1 species
CCUACGGGUGGCAGCAGUGAGGAAUAUUGGUCAAUGGACGCAAGUCUGAACCAGCCAAGUAGCGUGCAGGAUGACGGCCCUCCGGGUUGUAAACUGCUUUUAGUUGGGAAUAAAAGGGGCCUCGUGCGCCCCGUCUUGUAUGUACCAUCAGAAAAAGUCCCGGCUAAUUCCGUGCCAGCAGCCGCGGUAAUACGGAAGGUCCGGGCGUUAUCCGGAUUUUUUGGGUUUAAAGGGCGCGUAGGCUGGCUUUUAAGUCAGCUGGUAAAGUCCGCGGCUCAACCGUGGAAUUGCAGUUGAAACUGGAGGCCUUGAGUGCACACAGGGAUGCCGGAAUUCAUGGUGUAGCGGUGAAAUGCUUAGAUAUCAUGAAGAACUCCGAUCGCGAAGGCAAGUGUCCGGGGUGCAACUGACGCUGAGGCUCGAAAGUGCGGGUAUCAAACAGGAUUAGAUACCCCAGUAGUC